UCUCCGUUGGUGAACCAGCGGAGGGAUCAUUACCGAGUUGCAAAACUCCCAAACCCACUGUGAACCAAUACCACUGUUGCUUCGGCGGACACGCCCCGGGCGCACCUCCUCAGGGGGUGUGCCCCGGAACCAGGCGCCCGCCGGGGGACCGAAACCUCUGUAUUUACCAUUUGAGUACUCUGGGUGUGAUUUACAAAAUCAAAAUUAAAACUUUCAACAACGGAUCUCUUGGCUCUA
rnacentral:misc_RNA from 1 species